GAUGAACGCUAGCUACAGGCUUAACACAUGCAAGUCGCGGGGCAUCAUGGAGGUUGCUUGCAAUUUCUGAUGGCGACCGGCGGACGGGUGAGUAACGCGUGAGUAACCUGCCUUAGAGAAGGGGAUAGCCUUUGGAAACGAAGAAUAAUACCCUAUGAAACCAUAACCUCGCAUGAGGAAUUGGUCAAAGAUUUAUCGCUCUAAGAUGGACUUGCGUCUGAUUAGUUAGUUGGUGGGGUAACGGCCCACCAAGACAGCGAUCAGUAGCCGGCUUGAGAGAGUGUACGGCCACAUUGGGACUGAGACACGGCCCAGACUCCUACGGGAGGCAGCAGUGGGGAAUUUUGCACAAUGGGGGAAACCCUGAUGCAGCGACGCCGCGUGAUUUAGAAGGCCUUCGGGUUGUAAAAAUCUUUUCUAUGGGAAGAAAAUGACAGUACCAUAGGAAUAAGGACCGGCUAAUUACGUGCCAGCAGCCGCGGUAAUACGUAAGGUCCGAGCGUUGUCCGGAAUCAUUGGGCGUAAAGGGUACGUAGGCGGGUAAGCAAGUUAGAAGUGAAAUCCUAUAGCUCAACUAUAGUAAGCUUUUAAAACUGCUCAUCUUGAGGUAUGGAAGGGAAAGUGGAAUUCCUAGUGUAGCGGUGAAAUGUGCAGAUAUUAGGAGGAAUACCGGUGGCGAAGGCGACUUUCUGGCCAUAACCUGACGCUGAGGUACGAAAGCGUGGGUAGCAAACAGG
rnacentral:rRNA from 1 species